ensembl:antisense Gm15179 predicted gene 15179
AGUCUCACUAGGCUGGUUGGAGAGGAAGAGGAAAGGUCCAGAGAUGAGAGGCACAUGGAGAGACAGGCCCCAGUGGAGGUGAGCAGACCGGACCAAUGGCCUCUCCCAGCACCUCCGUAACAGCUGGAACAUUCAAAGCAGUUCCAUCACCCUAAAUAUUCACGUGUGCAUCCUCUUUGGAGUCAGCCACACCUUGUCUACCAGUCCCUGGCAACCGCCAAUGAUGAAUUGAAUUCUACAAUGACAGUGAGGCUAUGUGUCCCCCUCCCGCCGACCUAUGUGUCCUUUUGCCCUGUGUGGAGCGGAUGAGUACACACGAUUCACUCAGGGAGAAGGAGAAACAGCGGGACUCUAGAAACUUCUUUCAGACCCCUGAUACUGCAGCCUUAUCCACCAAGGCCACGCCCUCAGCGCUGGGGUUUCUCGGAGCAGUCAGCGCACGAGUUCAAAGGGCCUCAUUAGGAAGCAGAGGCUGGCUUUGAACCUGAAGUCUUCUGGUCCCAACCUCUUGAGCCCCUGUUAGGAUUACAGGCAGCACACCGGCCCUGGCUCCCUCUGGUAUUUUAAUUGAGACUAAAUUCCAUUGGAACUGCUUAUGGAUAGAGGGUGGCUUGACAUUCUCUUAAGAGUGCCGAGCUGUUUUUCACCCAAGUAAAAAGUCUUGUCUUUGC